GAUGAACGCUGGCGGCGUGCCUAAUACAUGCAAGUCGAGCGAACAGAUAAGGAGCUUGCUCCUUUGACGUUAGCGGCGGACGGGUGAGUAACACGUGGGUAACCUACCUAUAAGACUGGGAUAACUUCGGGAAACCGGAGCUAAUACCGGAUAACAUUUGGAACCGCAUGGUUCUAAAGUGAAAGAUGGUUUUGCUAUCACUUAUAGAUGGACCCGCGCCGUAUUAGCUAGUUGGUAAGGUAACGGCUUACCAAGGCAACGAUACGUAGCCGACCUGAGAGGGUGAUCGGCCACACUGGAACUGAGACACGGUCCAGACUCCUACGGGAGGCAGCAGUAGGGAAUCUUCCGCAAUGGGCGAAAGCCUGACGGAGCAACGCCGCGUGAGUGAUGAAGGGUUUCGGCUCGUAAAACUCCGUUAUUAGGGAAGAACAAAUGUGUAAGUAACUGUGCACGUCUUGACGGUACCUAAUCAGAAAGCCACGGCUAACUACGUG
rnacentral:rRNA from 1 species